rnacentral:rRNA from 1 species
CAGUAGCCACGGGAAUACGAAGGGGGCUAGCGUUGCUCGGAAUGACUGGGCGUAAAGGGCGCGUAGGCGGUUCACGCAGUCAGAUGUGAAAUUCCUGGGCUUAACCUGGGGGCUGCAUUUGAGACGCGUGGGCUUGAGUGUGAAAGAGGGUCGUGGAAUUCCCAGUGUAGAGGUGAAAUUCGUAGAUAUUGGGAAGAACACCGGUGGCGAAGGCGGCGACCUGGUUCAUAACUGACGCUGAGGCGCGAAAGCGUGGGGAGCAAACAGGAUUAGAUACCCCAGUAGUCCCUGUCUCUUAUCC